rnacentral:rRNA from 1 species
AGCGAACGCUGGCGGCAGGCCUAACACAUGCAAGUCGAACGAACUCUUCGGAGUUAGUGGCUGACGGGUGGGUAACACGGGGGAACGUGCCUUUUGGUUCGGAAUAUCUCAGGGGAACUUGUGCUAAUACCGCAUGUGCCCUUCGGGGGUAAGAGUUAUCGCCAUGAGAGCGGGCCUCGUCUGAUUAGCUAGUUGGUGAGGUAACGGCUCACCAAGGGGAAUAGCAAGUGCUGGUCUGAACGGAUGACCAGCCACACUGCGCCUGGGACACGGCCGGGACUCCUGCGGAAGGCAGGAGUGGGGACUGUUGAGCAAUGGGUGAAAGACUGACGCAGCCAGGCCGUAAGAAUGAUGAAGGUGUGAAGAUCGUGAGAGUGUUUGACAGGGGAAGAUAGUGACGGUACCCGGAGAAGAAGCGCCGGCUAACUUCGUG